GACGAACGCUGGCGGCGUGCUUAACACAUGCAAGUCGAACGGAAAGGCCUUUUCGGAGGUACUCGAGUGGCGAACGGGUGAGUAACACGUGGGUGAUCUGCCCUGCACUCUGGGAUAAGCCUGGGAAACUGGGUCUAAUACCGGAUAGGACCGCACUUUAGUGUAUGUGGUGGAAAGUUUUUUCGGUGUAGGAUGAGCCCGCGGCCUAUCAGCUUGUUGGUGGGGUAAUGGCCUACCAAGGCGGCGACGGGUAGCCGGACUGAGAGGUUGGUCGGCCACAUUGGGACUGAGAUACGGCCCAGACUCCUACGGGAGGCAGCAGUGGGGAAUAUUGCACAAUGGGCGCAAGCCUGAUGCAGCGACGCCGCGUGGGGGAUGACGGCCUUCGGGUUGUAAACUCCUUUCGCCAGGGACGAAGCGUUUUGUGACGGUACCUGGAGAAGAAGCACCGGCUAACUACGUG
rnacentral:rRNA from 1 species